UUUCUUAAUGGCAACCAGGGAAAAUAGACACUAAUACUGCCCCCACUGUAUACAAAAUUCAAGAUCUUUUAACAAUGCUAAAAGGAGCUAUUGUGUGCCUCACACCACUGUGAGUUAUACCAUAAAUAUUCAUUAAAACAGAAGUCUGGAAGCAUAUGCUGCUUUUACAAAUAAUGAGGCAGAAAGCAAUCAGAGGGCUGCUUAGAUGAGGUCACAGGGAGCAUACUGCACUGAGGAGGCAGAGGAGACAGGUCUUCCAAGGUAUCCUAAGGAAGUCACAGCUUGUGUCUUCUACCAUGUACAAACCAGAGGCUAAAGGACUUUGCAGUUUCACAGUUGGAAUCUGCAGCUUUUCUUAUGUGCAGCGGAGACUCGCAGUGUAUUUGGAGUAACUGCUGAGAACUCAAUGUAUGACAUCUCCUAAUUAAAGACCACCACCAAGUUAGGGAUCACUGGAAGCAGUUCUGGAGGCUGGGAAGUUCAAGAUCAAGGUGCAGGCUUCUGGCAAGGACCUUCUUGCUCCAUCAUAACAUGGUAUACCCUGGUAGUCUAUCUUGGCUUUAAUGCUGAGUAACUUCAAGAGACAAUGACCACUGGAAUUGCCACCACUCAGACAUCAUCAAGAAGACAUAUGUUUUAUUCUUAAUUGAGUGGUAUGGAUUAUUUUUCUUUUCAGUAUUACUGGAA
rnacentral:lncRNA from 1 species